CCGUUAUCUCGCAUUUUAGAGGCGCGUCCAAGUCCUUCUUGAACGGGGCCACAGCCCACAGAGGGUGCCAGGCCCGUAGAGACCGCUUCUAUUUGCGAGAGGAUCUCUCCUCAGAGUCGGGUUGCUUGAAAGUGCAGCCCUAAGUGGGUGGUAAACUCCAUCUAAGGCUAAAUAUGACCACGAGACCGAUAGCGAACAAGUACCGUGAGGGAAAGUUGAAAAGUACUCUGAAGAGAGAGUUCAAUAGUACGUGAAACCGUUUAGGGGUAAACCUGAGAAACCCGAAAGGUCGAACGGGGAGAUUCAGCGUGUCUUGACAAUGGCACUGUGACCGUUGUGCGACGARCUUUUCCAUCUCUUCAUUGAGUUUGGUUGGUUUGCGUCUUCAGUUCAGUUUUGACCUAGUUGAACGCGUGCACUUCUCCCCCAGUAGGACGUUGUGAUUCGUUGGGUGCCGGUCUAAGGCCCAUGGUGGAGCCCGUUUACUUGGCUUGUCCUUGUUGAACGGACCCAUGGUGUUCCCGGCCGGCACGCUCGACGAUAUACAGAAUGGCGCAAGGCCGCUACACUUUUAGUUAGCGUUUGACCUACGGCAAGCGCGCUUGUUGUGUUGGUGAUCGGACCUAGUGCCGGUCCCGACCACUUGUGGCUGUUCGCUGUAGUGUUCUCAAACAGAUCUUGAUGAAACGCCGAUCUACAACGCUAUAGCUUUGGGUAC
rnacentral:rRNA from 1 species